rnacentral:rRNA from 1 species
UGGGGAAUAUUGGACAAUGGGCGAAAGCCUGAUCCAGCCAUGCCGCGUGUGUGAAGAAGGUCUUCGGAUUGUAAAGCACUUUAAGUUGGGAGGAAGGGCAGUAAGUUAAUACCUUGCUGUUUUGACGUUACCAACAGAAUAAGCACCGGCUAACUUCGUGCCAGCAGCCGCGGUAAUACGAAGGGUGCAAGCGUUAAUCGGAAUUACUGGGCGUAAAGCGCGCGUAGGUGGUUCAGCAAGUUGGAUGUGAAAUCCCCGGGCUCAACCUGGGAACUGCAUCCAAAACUACUGAGCUAGAGUACGGUAGAGGGUGGUGGAAUUUCCUGUGUAGCGGUGAAAUGCGUAGAUAUAUGGAGGAACACCGGUGGCGAAAGCGGCUCUCUGGUCUGUAACUGGCGCUGAGGCUCGAAAGCGUGGGGAGCGAACAGGAUUAGAUACCCUGGUAGUCCACGCCGUAAACGAUGAGUGCUAGGUGUUGGAUCCUUUCCGGGAUUCAGUGCCGCAGCUAACGCAUUAAGCACUCCGCCUGGGGAGUACGACCGCAAGGUUG